rnacentral:rRNA from 1 species
GACGUAGGGCGCGAGCGUUGUCCGGAUUUAUUGGGCGUAAAGAGCUUGUAGGCGGUUUGUCGCGUCUGCUGUGAAAAUCCGGGGCUCAACCCCGGACUUGCAGUGGGUACGGGCAGACUAGAGUGUGGUAGGGGAGACUGGAAUUCCUGGUGUAGCGGUGGAAUGCGCAGAUAUCAGGAGGAACACCGAGUGGCGAAGGCAGGUCUCUGGGCAUUAACUGACGCUGAGGAGCGAAAGCAUGGGGAGCGAACAGG